rnacentral:lncRNA from 1 species
ACGAGGAAGGGCUUAGUAAGCGACGAAAUGCUUCGGGGAGUUGAAAAUAAGCAUAGAUCCGGAGAUUCCCGAAUAGGUUAACCUUUCAAACUGCUGCUGAAUCCAUGGGCAGGCAAGAGACAACCUGGCGAACUGAAACAUCUUAGUAGCCAGAGGAAAAGAACUAGGGCCGACUAAAUUAGAACCCUAGUUUAACUGCCAAAUA